GCGGCCUCUGGGCCGGAGCCCGGGUCCCCGCCCGCCCCAGCGCCCGCCGCCGGCCGAGCCCCGCCCCCCGCGUCUCCAUCGUGGGUCGCGGUGGUCGGAUGUGCGCCGGGGUCCGCGGGACAGGCGGGCGCAGAGGUCCCUUGUGUUGGCGGGGGGUGGGUGCGGCGAGGUUCCGGCCCCUCCGCGUAGCAUCGUGGGUCUGAGGCUGGGGGCGCCGCGAAUUGCUAUGCUCUCCGCAUUUUCCCGGCUCUGAAGCUUCGAGAACACGGCCACGCAGCAGUAGUUUAAUGGGGAGUUUGCCUGCUGGGAACUAGGGGCGUGCUGAGGUCUCAGUUCUCGGCUGGCCCUGGAACACGAGGUUGCCAGGUGGGUGACGGCAGCAGGUAGGAGUGACCCGCUGGUGCAGUGAUGAGCAGGAAAGGUAAGUGGGUUUCAGUAAGGCUGACUUGCUGAAGAUUUGUCACAUUGGAUUAAAAAAGGGUGGCACUAAAAUUUUCCUUUCUGGCGUGAGCUCAGUAAUACCACCUAACUAUCUGAAAUAAUUUGACUUAUUUUAGGUGGAUUCACGGGUAGUUACUGUCUGUUAAAAGAAAUUUUAUGAUGGGUUGUGCAGGCAGAAAGCCUAGAAAUAAAAUUGCCAGGUUUAAAUGUUACAGAGACAAUUUCGAAGGCCAGCUGUGCUACCUUACGUGAGGUUUUUCUAAAUUCUAGAGAAGUGUUUCUUGUGUUGCCUUGUUCAGUGUACUUCUUUGAUCCGCUGAUCAAUCUGGGACCUCACUGGUAGCUCCCUGGGAGAGGGUACAGAGAUGUCUAACGAGGGCCCUCCCGGCUGCACUGUGAUCCCCCGGGUUUGUCAAACACCAGCCUACCGCCAGGUGCCCGUAUAGGCAGAGCCCUUUUUCAUUUUUGCCUCGGGCUGCCCACUGCGGGUCGGAAAGGUGACAGUGGAGAGGUGAAGGGUUCAUAUGUCAGUAGCAGCCUUCACUAGUGCUUUUUUAUGUAUAAAUUUACUUUAUUUAUUUUUGGCUGCGUUGGGUCUUCGUUGCUGCACAUGGGCUUUCUCUAGGUGCGGCGAGCGGGGGCUCCCCUUCCCUGGAGCACGGGCUUCAGUAGUUGUGGCGCACGGGCUUAGUCGCUCCGCGGCAUGUGGGAUCUUCCCGGACCAGGGCUCAAACCCGUGUCCCCUGCGUUGGCAGGCGGAUUCUUAACCAGUGCACCACCAGGGAAGUCCAGCCUUCGUUAGUUUUAAAUACUGGCAACAGUAAUAACGGCAGCCAGCUUUUCUUGCACUCUGAUUCUGGGCCAACCGCUCGUGUUGUUCGGUACGGGAAGGACAGUGGCUGUUGGCCUGUGAACCUAGGCAAGAAUGACCAGCCGACACAGUCCAGACCGAGGUGAGAGGCGGUGCUGCUCUGGGCUCCUCCUGGAGGCCUGCUGGGCGGGCGCGGGGGGACACUGCCCUGCAGAUGCCGGACUUGCCGGCACCACGGGUGCGGCUGCCCUGCUGCACCUGUGACGCUGGGGCGGAGAGGAAGCGGCUAUUUCUACGCUCAGCGCUCAGAACCGUGGGCACUAAGAAUGGUUUGUAGCCGGACAUCACCAAAAGCUGCGUGAGGGGCAUCUUGUUUGCCGCGCACUUCGCAGCGUGAGCUGUGCGCAGGCCCUUGAAGGCUUGGGUGUUCUUUUUCUUUAUAAAAUCAAGCUCGUCGUGAGAAUUAGGUGAGAUGUGUACAGGCAUGUGGCAAGCUCUGGGCACGAUGCGAUUGGCCGGGAGGGACUCCUUACUGGAAAUGAUCGUUCUGUUGGUCUGUCUGGCGAGGAGCUUUUAGGAAUCCUUGGGCAGGUUUGACCUGCGUCCCUGGCUGAGGGCCGCUGAGCCGGUAUCCAGGCCCUGUGGGGCUUCCGGGCCCUGCUCAGAGUAGGACCCUAGGUGGGGACGAGGGGGGCCCAGAGCCACUGGUCCACGAGCGCUCGUACUCUGAGGACCUUGAGACGAGUCACUCUGGAAGGAAGGCCAGAGGUUCUCUCCUGGCUUUUGUCCUGUUGGUGAGGCGGAAGCCUGGCCCCUUUGUGGAGCCCCUCGACGGGCUGACCGUAACCCUAUGAAAAAUGAUCAUCCAAACCAGGGGUGUCUUGGUCUCCUUGCGGAAGGAGAGUGCAUUUUGCUGUUUCCUGAAACGUUAAGCUGGAGGGCUGAACAAAAGCUGUAAGUUAGUGGCUCUCGACAGGGGGCGGUUUGUCCCCCUCCCAGGGUACGUGGCAACUUGCAGGGCAGGAAAGGGAUGGGCUGCUGCUGGCGUCUAGUUGGUGGGGGCCAGGGCUGUGGCUGCAUGUCCUGUGGUGCCCAGGACGGCCCCACAGUAAGGCUACAGGUCCCGAAUGCUGAUAGGGCCAAGGUUGACAAACCCUGCUAUAGAAAAUAAUUCGGGAGGGAUUCACGGAUUGGAUUCCAUUUCUCAGGUCCGUGGGCCCAGCUCGGUCCUGUGCGGCUGGUCAGUGGAAUAGACCUGCAAGUGUGGCUCUUGUCACUCUAGGCCUGGCUUCAGGACAGAAGCCAGUUGCUCUGCUAAGGAGGCUUGACCGUGGUCCAGUCCAUCCAGCACGGGGAGGCGCGGCUAGUGGGUCAUCUCGGUUUUCUGUCUGCAGAUCCUGCUGGCGAGCCCAGGGCACCGUCCUCAGUUCUCCGGGAGAGAGUGCCCGACUCAGCCCGGUGGCCACGCACAUCCAGCCUGCCGGCAAGGGCAGUGGGGAGCCGGGGCAAGUCAUGGCCUUCGGAAUGUCCUCUGAUGAGAAAGAACCUGCCGGCUUAUAGAAUAACUUGGGUGGGGAACGUUGGUGUGCUGAAAAGCAGUUCUGUGUGCUUCCCCCCUUGGCGUGGAUCAGCAGUGCUGAGGCAGCGGGCGUGAUACAGAAGUGUGAGCAGAGACCGUCUGGAAGCCCCGGACUCCAGGGAAACUAAAGGUGACAGCCGGCCUAGUGAAGAGGGGCGGGGGCGGCAGCCCAGCAGGAGCCCCUGUCUCAGGGCCCUCGUCCUGGCUCCAGCUGGCUGGUCAGGGGAGCUGCAAGGUCUCCUGGUCGAGCGGAGCCCCCAGUCCUGAGCUGCUCUUCGCUGUGUUUGGGUCAUCUCCCCCCCAUCCAAGGGGAGAAAUCUAGAUGAGAUUUCAGAAUCAGCGCUUUCAGAAUGUGGAUCUCAUACCUGAAAGCUCGGAGGACGUGUUUUCAGCCCAGGGUGUGGAAGGGAACGGAGGAGUCAACCCCUUUCGAGGAGGUGCCUCCGCGUGGGCAGAACUAGAGAAUAAAUGGGCCUUGAAUAAGCCAUCUUGACUUGCGUUUCUCUGUCUGAUCCGCUGACGCCCCAGCAGGAGUUGAGGGUGUGAGAGGGUCAGGCUCCUGGGCUCACAGCUUCCUGUUCAGGGGGAGGAGGGGACCCUUGGCUUUUUCCCGGACGGUGGA